AGUGAACGCUGGCGGUAGGCCUAACACAUGCAAGUCGAACGGCAGCACAGUAAGAGCUUGCUCUUACGGGUGGCGAGUGGAGGAAGGGUGGGGUAUACAUCGGAAUCUACUUUUUCGUGGGGGAUAACGUAGGGAAAAUUACGCUAAUACCGCAUACGACCUACGGGUGAAAGCAGGGGCUCUUCGGACCUUGCGCGAUUGAGUGAGCCGUUGUCGGAUUAGCGAGUUGGCGGGGUAAAGGCGCUCCAAGGCGAAGGUCCGUAGCUGGUCUGAGAGGAUGAACAGCCACACUGGGACUGAGACGCGGUCCAGACUCCUACGGGAGGCAGCGGUGGGGAAUAGUGGACAAUGGGCGCAAGCCUGAUCCAGCCAUACCGCGUGGGUGAAGAAGGCCUUCGUGUUGGAUAACCCUUUUGUUGGUAAAGAAAAGCAGCAGGUGAAUACCCCGCUGUUCUGACGGUACCCAAAGAAUAAGCACCGGCUAACUUCGUG
rnacentral:rRNA from 1 species